AAAUGCAAAAUGAACAACAGAAGCCUGCUGCUGAAAGAAAGACUUUCAUCUCGUUUUUUUUUGGAGAGUCUGUGGUCUGAGAAGGUCUGAGCUGCCAAUUCACCAGUGGGACAUCCUUCCUGCACUGAUGCCCAAGGCACAAACAACAGGCCUGCAUGUUGUCAUGGCAACCCCAGGCCUGCUGCCCCCCCACCUCCACCUCCUGCCUCCUCACCCAGAGUGCUGCAACCCAUCAAUUAAUAACCUAAUAAUGUAUGACAACAGUCACUCCAAACACCCAGGCAGCAGUCCUCUUGAAAAACAAACAGACUUCUCCAGAGAACUGAGCGCCACAGAGAUGUUCAUUAACUCAGCCUGGGCUACCUGCUAAAAUCUAGCUGUCUGAAUCCAAAUUACUCUCUCCCUAGCAUCUCCCUCUUGUUGUAAAGGCUUGGGGUUGGCAGAGCUGAGGACUGAAGCCUCACAGGUUCCAGGGAAACAGACACUAGAGAAGCUACCAUGUAGGAUGCCUGCCCCCUCAGCCCUGAAGCACACAAAGAAACUGAUCCUGACCCAAAAGGAUAUUUGUAUCUCUGCUGGUCUUUUCCAGAAACCUUACAUCCUUUGCAAGGAUGAAUUAGUUACCAUGGCACCCAGAAAAAAAGCAAAAGGGAAGCAAAAGCAAAAGGGAAGAUUUUCAAGUUUUGGAAGAUUCAAGAUGGUUGGAAGUGUUCAAUACUCUUCUCAUUGAGAGGUGCCCUGCUGAAAGGAAGCCCAAGAGAGGCCCACAUUGAAAGAAACCAAAAUCCUGGCUGACAGCCCCAGCUGAAGCCACGAUCCACUGCUCACCACAAGGUUGUGAUCUUGGAAGAGGAUCCACCAGCCCCCACUCGGCCAUCUCAGCUGAUGUUGCAAGGAGCAGAGAUAAGCCAUUGCCACCCAGCCCUACCCAAAUCACAGAUUCAUGAGCAAAACAGAUGAGUACUAUUAUUUCAAGCCAGUGUCUUCUGAAGUGCUUUGUAAUGCAGCAGUCGGUAACUGGGACAGGCCCAGCCACAGCAAGUGACCUGCCCGAAGCCACACAGCCUCUAGCUCCGUCAGCGCUCUCUCCUUUGCCCAUUGCUGAAUCCCAAAGAGACUUCCCGUGCCUUUCGCCAUCGGGUCACUCUUCUCCAGCUUGAGGAUGACCUGGGUCCACUCGAUUGCCAGACGCGGGGAAAGAAGGGGGCGGCCAACUAGCGACCCCACCGGGCGCUCCUGCGGACAAGCACAGGCCAGCUUUGUCCUCCCUCGCUGGGGGUGGGGGUUGGGGGGGUGCUUGUUGGGCUCUGGGGAGCCCUUCGCCUAAGAGGAACCAAGCAGAUUUGCGGGAAGGAAAGGAAAUCUUUGGGGCACCCGUGUUGCCGAGCUCUAGGAAAUGAAAGGUUAGCUGUCUCACUCUUUUUUUUUUUUUUUUUUGGUAAGUAAUGACCAGGUUGUCAUGGAGUCAGCUGAGGGGGUGGCUGCUAAACCAGGCGACAACCGCAGCGGAGACACCCCACCCAAAUGGGGGACGGACGCGCUGGAGCUUGGGGGCAGACACAUGCUGGGCCUGGGUGCUGCCGCUUCCUGCACUUUGCCGCCCCGCCCCGGGCGCGCACACUUGGGGGCCACGUGCCUACACCCUCACAGCGCACUCGCGGUUUCCCGGGUUUGCUGCACCGGGGCCCCGAGACCGUGGCGAGCGAAAGAGGACGGGGAGAGGAGGAGACGUCCUGCGCGGCGAGGGGCCGGCCGCCCGCGCCUUCUCCUACGGCGGCGCUCGGCAGGCGGGGUGGGCACUGCGUCCUGGGCUGCUGGCAGAGGGGGCCGGGGGCGCGGGCAGGUCCAUUUCCCAGCCAGGCCCUCCUCCUCGGACCACCCGGCCACGUUGUGCUCCGAUUUCCAACUCCCACCCCCGCCACGCCCCUGUCUGACACAACCAGCCCUGCCCUUCCGCACCCUGCCUUUCACCCUGACCACAUGCCACGGACGAGGCGCCAGCCAGGAAGAAUCGCGGUGGCACAGCCACCUGGAGGUAUAGUACUCCCCACCCCCAACUACCUGCUGUCCCCAGGGUGGGCUCAGACUGGGCCUGGCUGCAAAAGGAGGAGGGUCGUUCUCCAGCCACAUCCAGACCCGCUUCUAGGUAAGAAGCUGGGAGGAGUCCCUGAAGCGAUCUGUCCAUACAGGUCAUCUCAGUGUCCCCAGUGUCACCACAUCAGGAGCCCGCAGUAAAGGCAGCGUCCCACUGCUGCUCAGGCCUGUCUCCACCUCUGCCACCUCAGGAGGCUGCAGUUGGCUGCCUCCUGGGUCCCUAGUGCUUCCCCAGGCCCGACUGUGCCGCAGGCAGCGGUGGCCAAGAGCGGCACGGGGCACCUCCUCCUGGUUUUGUUGAGAAUUCAAGGAGGCCUGAGGGUCCCUCUGCCCCACGGGCUCACAGAUAACAGUAACAAUAGUCACAGCUCCCAGUUUUUGAGUACUUUGGGCCAGGCACCACGUAUAAGCACUUAAAUGCAUAAACUCAUUUGAUCCUCGCCACUCUGUGCGGUCGAUAGUAGUAUUAUCCCCACCGCAUACGUGGGCAUGAGACACAGAGAACCAAUAACACGCCCAAAGUCACACAGGUAAUAAUAAGCAGAGGUUCGAACACUGAGGUUGGAACCCAGACAGGAGCCCACAGCCGUCCUCAGCACCUGCCUCCUGUCCGAAGCCACCCUUAGCUGUAUUCUCAGCACCUUCUGCUCUGUCUCAUCUGCCUACCUUAACUCCUAUGUCCCGCUCCACUCAAAACACCUCCUGGCCCCCAUCUCCUGAACUCCUGCCCCAGUUUUCACCUCCCCGGUCACCUCCUCUAUCGAACCGUCUUGUUUGUCCCAGGCAAUUUGGGCUGAGCCCCCUUGGUGCCCGGCUUUCUUUGCACGGCCCACUGAGGUCAUUGGCCCCCAGCUGUCCCCCUGCAUGGCCCUCCUUCCUGGCCGUGUGCCUGGCCCAGAACAGGGCUCCCCAUUCCUGCUUGUAAACGGAGUGUCUGGGACUGGUCACUGCCGGAGUCUGCAGAAGCUUUGUGUUUGGUUGCCAGGACAGAUUGUUGGGGGUUAGGGAUGGAGGGCAGCUGGAGUGCAGGCAGGGGAGAUAACGAGAGACAUGGAUGUCGCCUUUUCUGCUAACUCCUCUGGGUGGCUCGAAGCUCCACAGUUUGUGACUGGGCCCCUAGGUGAAUCUCUGGAAGGAAAUGGACAGCGGGCAAGACGUGAGAAGACACCCCGGCAGGGGAGGCAGAGGGAGCAGGGGGGUGGGAGACGCAGGGAAAUUUGCUUUUUCUGUUGGGCACAGGCCCAGCAACCUCCCAGCAGGCUCUUCUGUGAGGCUGGCUCUGCCUCUUCUGCUGGUCCUCAUUUUUAAAUUUCUCCUUCUUGCGAAAUCUUCACAUGUGGAGUUUUCUGGAUUAACUAUUCAUGCUAUAAAAAUGCACACAAUUUUUAAAAAUGGCCAGACUGAAAGUAGUUGUUAAGAGUUUGGGUUUGAAAGCCAGAGUGUCUGAGUUGGAAUCCCACCUGUUACCUACGAGUAGGGGAUCCUUAGACAAAUCCCUUAACCUCUCUGCGCCAGAUUCCUCGCGUGUGAAACGGGGACGUGGCUUCAAUAGGGACUUGAGAUAAUUACAUGAGUUCACAGCUCAACACCCAGCACAUAUUAGGGUUCAAUAGAAGUUGGCUGUUAUUAUUCUUGUUGUCCACUCCAAUAGCCUCUUAUAUGCAACUCUUACGUUUUGAAUGUUUACUGUGUUCUUAGUGCUUGUGUGUGAGGUCUUCUCAUCCCAAGUAGUUUUAGUAUUUCCCUUUCACGGGUCAGGAAACUGAGGUUCAGUGACUUGCUCCAGGCCAUUCAGUUCUCAGUUCUGAGUGCCUGAACCAGGACUUACAUGGAGUCCUGACUAUGAAGGUGCUUCUUGCAGCAAUUAUGCUCUGUCUCAUCCUAUCCCGCAGGAAAGAAGUGGGGUGUUUUAAAACCCAUCAUUAGUGGCGAGAUCCAGAAUUCUGCCUCUCAGGGGUACAGUCGUGCUGUGUAGAAUGCUUAUUACAAAGUGACUCCUGCCAGGGCUGUCACAUCACACAACCCAGGGGAGGGGGACACUGUACACAGUCCUUGGUGGCCUUGUCUCCCUGACUUUCUUUCUGUAGCCCACAGUCUCUGUGUACAGAGGUCCUAACAUACCUAGAACCUUUCACAGUCUAAAUACUCUUCAAUUAAAACAACCCUCCGUUUUUAUUUAUGCUGCAUUUUUUAGAGACAGAAUAGCAUGGCACCUAUACCAGUUACUUAAAGAUCCAGAAUUGGCCUGUGGAAUACAGGCCUGGCACCUCUGGUCAUGCUCUUGGAAGAAAGUGCUAAAUUUGGAGAAACAAAGAGAUUCGUUGCACAGUCGCCUUUUGGCCAGACGUUGCUGUGUUUCUUAGUGUCAGGAUAUUCAGUCCUUGGCAGGGGCAGCAGAAUUUAUUGUUUUGUAAACAAAACCUGGCAUUGGACUUAUAAACAACAAAGCUCACUGACUUAAAAUGAAGCAUGCAUUGUUUUCCAGAACCUUCCUGGACCUAGAGAAUGGUAAAUUAUGGCCCGUGCUCAUGGAUGAUGAGUUGAGACACUGCACUAAUAACUGUUUAUCUUGCCCACAAAAAUCACCUUCUGCAUUGGGCUGGAAUCCUAGGAUGUGAUCAGAAUUUCUCCACAGCCGGUACAGUGACACUGAUGUCCUUUCUUUCUUCCCAGUCUCUCGUGGGUUUCGGCGUUGGCACGCACAUAUUCCCAGUGUCAAGCCCAGGGAGGCAUACGGCAGGUGCUCAGAAAUGGCCGCCGAAGGAAUGAAUGAAAGAGGUUGUUGCACCCGGCAACAGAGUGUGUCGAGGGCUUUCUGUUACUGCCCGUCCAGAUCCACUCCUCAGCCUUCUCUAGUCUACUCUGUACUCUAUCGCUUGUAUCACGGGGUCCCAUGCCCUCUGGCUUCUGCUGGGUUUGGCCAAUGGAAGCACUAAGUGGGACCAGAAGGUGGAGGCGAGUGGGGUCGGGGGAGUAUUUAUCCACCCACCAGAGUGGCUUCAGGUUGGCUGCGUCCCUUUACUGAAGUCGUCAGUUCCUGUAACAGUCCCUCUCCUGCACUGCCCUCCCCUCUUCUACCUCCAGGCCCGGGGAUGGUAACAGCUCCUUGGAAAUGCUAGUCCCAGGGAGCCACAUGGAUCUGCGGACCUGGGCUGGUUCCCUGAACCCAAUCGAUACCCUCGAAAACCGUCCCUUUGUCAACCUCUCCUCAGUCACCCUGCCUGACUGUGCCUCUGUUUCCUGCCAAGACUCUGCCUGCUACAGGAGUGGAUGUAUCAGAUGGGUCUUCACUGCAAACUCAAUGGAACAAUGUGUGCAUAUUUCAGAAGGCACACAGGUGACCUACUUUAAAAAAUUACUGAUUUUUCAGUUCAGUCUUCCAGUUAGCGCAGCUGGCCAGCCUCAGAAGCAAUCAAUCACUCUUUAUCCCCCAAACAACAGAAGGAGUCCCUACUCCCUCACUCGGCUCUGGCGCUGGCUCUGGCUCCGGCUCUGGUUCAUCUCUCUCCCUGCUCAGCCCCAGGCCUCAUCCUGCAGAUGGUCUUGUGCUUCCUGUCCGUGAGCCUCCCAACUCCUCAUUCGGGUAGACAACUUUCCUUCUGAGAAAUACUCCCCAACGCACGGAGUCAACCCCCCCACCUGUCCAUCCCCUCCCCUGGCCAGUUUCAGGCAGCAAGAAGCUGGUUUUUCUGAGAAUCAUCUUUUCUGGCAUCAACCAGGCUUGGGCCUGAGUGAUUACUCAGACAAGAGUGACCUGAUUAACAAUGCGACGUUGUUUCCGCUCCCAUGACAAUCCGCGGCUCUCAGACAGAAUGGGACUAAUGAGGACACCCGAAGGCGGGAAACUCUGAGGCUGGUAUAGAGUCAGAUCAAGUCUAGGCGAAGCGUGAACACACACAUCUGGAGAGCCGGGGACCCCAUUUUGCCCGCCUGGCUGGACUUCAGAUUCCUGGAGGAGGCCUUCAGGCUGGGCUUGCUCAGGAUGUGGCAUCUGGGAGAGGGGGUAGUAUCCGAAUGUCUGGCUUCCUCCCAAAUCUAUCUCUGCUUGUUAGAGCUCUGGCAAGUUAUGCAGCCUCCCUUGGCCUCAGUUUCUUCUUCUUUAAAAUGGGGUUAUUAAUAUGAAGAUCGGUACAAGAAUGAAAUACAAAGAUGCUCUGAAGAAAUUGGGUUGACAGAGGAAAACCCAGAACCCAGCCUAGCCAGUGCAAAGGGCACAGGUUAUGCAGGGAAGGCAGGAAAGGUGGCUUGUUUGGCUGACUGAAAUAGGGGCCGGGCUGGGGCUGUUCAACCAGCCUUGACCAGCCUCUGCCUUGGCUUCCUGCUUAUGGAGAAUGGAUCAAAUCCUGGCUCUUUACACUGGCUAUGUGACCUUGGAAAGUUACAUAACCUCUCUGCCUCAGUUUCCUUAUCUGUGAAAUGGGGAUAUUAAUAGUACCGCAUAGGGUUGUUGUGAGUAUUCAAUGAGUUAGUAAGUAUAAAACUCUUAGAACUACUCGAGUGAAUGCUCAACAAAUGUUGGGGGCGGCCUCUUCAUCCAGUGCCUGUGGAAAGCUUGUGUGCUCCCCUCUUGCUCAAGUAUGCAGACUUCUGUGGUGGUGAGCUGGGGAACUGUGCUUUACUUUCUCCGAUGUAUAAGCUAUGCCUCGGGGCCGGCCCGGUGGCUCAGGCGGUUAGACCUCCAUGCUCCUAACUCCGAAGGCUACCGGUUCGAUUCCCACAUGGGCCAGUGGGCUCUCAACCACAGGUUGCCAGCUCAAUU